rnacentral:misc_RNA from 1 species
AAAGUCGUAACAAGGUAACCGUAGGUGAACCUGCGGUUGGAUCAUUAUAAAAUAAUGGUUCUCUAGGUUGAGUUUUAAAUCUUUUUUAAGGUUUUAAAAUUCCUUGGAGAAUUCCAAUCAACCCUUUGUGCACUGUAAAUGUUUUUUAGAGUACUUUUUAAAAGUGCUCGACAAUAUUUAAAACCCCAUUUUUUAAUUUUGUCUGAAUUUUUUAUGAAAAUAAAAAAAAUACAACUUUUGACAACGGAUCUCUUGGCUCUC